CAGUAUGAUAGACGAUAACUCCUGACUAGAGCAGCCUGUGUCCUGCUCUCUCACGGUGGGUAGCAUGUUGUGGUUGGCGCCGUGCAGUCGGAGGAUCACCCGCAUCAGAAGCAUCAGGGGAUGAGGUAGGGAGCAGUCUUCCAGCAGCCCCGCUCCUGGGAGAAUAGCAGGCAGCGGUGUUAUCAGCAUGCAGCCACGCUGCCAAGAAAAUGACCACACAUUAGUAGCUUUGUUUGGGUAGAGUCUAGGGGGGAUGUCGCUCGAAAAAAAAAAAAAAAAAAAAAAAAAUUGAGACACUCUCUUUCUGUUAAAUCAUGCCGGUUGUGAGUGUUAAAAGAUAGCUUGUUCAAAAAGGAACCGUACGCGGCUCGCCCGAGGCCAGGCCGCCACGAGGCUGCGGGAGCAGCUCGGGAUUUGCAGCGCUGCAGUCCCGGGGGCAGGCACACACCCCACUGUCUCCGGAAAGCAACAGGUUAUCCGCUCGCUCCUGCACCCCAUCCUCCUCUGCCCUGCCCCAGGGCAGCCUUGCCUCCCUUCCCAAUGCCUCACCUCGCUUUGCCUUGCCCCCGCCUCGCCUCUCCUAUGCCUUUCCAGGGAGCCAGC
rnacentral:lncRNA from 12 species